GAUGAACGCUGGCGGCGUGCCUAAUACAUGCAAGUCGAGCGAACAGACGAGGAGCUUGCUCCUCUGACGUUAGCGGCGGACGGGUGAGUAACACGUGGAUAACCUACCUAUAAGACUGGGAUAACUUCGGGAAACCGGAGCUAAUACCGGAUAAUAUGUUGAAUCGCAUGGUUCAACAGUGAAAGACGGUCUUGCUGUCACUUAUAGAUGGAUCCGCGCCGCAUUAGCUAGUUGGUAAGGUAACGGCUUACCAAGGCAACGAUGCGUAGCCGACCUGAGAGGGUGAUCGGCCACACUGGUACUGAGACACGGUCCAGACUCCUACGGGAGGCAGCAGUAGGGAAUCUUCCGCAAUGGGCGAAAGCCUGACGGAGCAACGCCGCGUGAGUGAAGAAGGUCUUCGGAUCGUAAAACUCUGUUAUUAGGGAAGAACAAAUGUGUAAGUAACUAUGCACGUCUUGACGGUACCUAAUCAGAAAGCCACGGCUAACUACGUG
rnacentral:rRNA from 1 species